ensembl:lncRNA
GCUGUGUCUUGCAGUGGGACCUUCCAUGUGAGAAACUGGCUCUUCUGGUUCCAAGGCCACUGCAAGGUGGCAGCCUUUUAUUGCUGUCAGGCAGGUGAAUUAUAUAGCUGGUAUCAGAGGGCCCACUCCCAAGAGAAGACAUGGCCUGCCUGAGUUCCUAUGAUGGGAGGAGGCCAAGUGGCAAUGGGAAGUUAGGUCCCUGCCUUGGGGGAAGUCUGUUUGCUGGAGUCACACCUGGCCUGAGCGACUCCCUCGCUGGUCAUGGUAUUUGCCUUCACAGAGGCCACACUGCAGUUCCUAGCAGCAGUCUGUCCUGCUCCUUACCCAGCCUAAGCUGGGUGGACCUCAAGGUGUCCAUGGCUUCCUUUGAGGAGGAGCCAGAGACUCCCCUUUAAGACUGCUCCAGAAGUUACCUGGAAGGGUGAGGUAGGCUUUCAGAGCCCCUGUGUGCUCCCAGACCUCUGCCUACCUCAGCGGUAUUGCCCUUCCUCUCCUCCUACCGCUGUUCUUUGGCUCUUGCUGUCUUCACAACAUCUCAGGGUAGCUACCCUGACCUAGCAGUCUGUUGCCUCCUUAUCCCACAACCCCGGCUUCCCUGACGGUCCUACCCUUCUGGCCUCAGGCCCAUUACCGAGGAAAGGCUUUGGCAAGUAUGUGGACAUGGCUUCCCAAGAGGACAGAAUGAUGCCGAGUGAGAGUGUAGGAGCAAUUGGGGUCACUGAAGCAGGAGGCACCCUUGGGGAGAGCUUCCUCCCAUGAGGCCUGAGAACCCUGGGAAAGAAGUUUGUGUCCAGUGUUGGAGCCACACCAGCCUGGGUGCAGAACCUGGCAACUGCCUGUCACUAGGGUGUGAGGGGAUAGGUGACUUCCCCUCUCUCAGCCUUAGCUUCCAAGUCUAAGAAAUGGAACCAAGUGCUUUAUCUUAAUAUGAUUUUGAAGAGACCAUGGGUUGUACUUUUCAUGGGGCACUGCGAGUGCUUUCGUUGCCUUUCUGGGAGGGUAGAAAUAAAGAGGGCC